UGGGGGAUAUUGCACACUGGGCGAAAGCCUGAUGCAGCGACGCCGCGUGGGGGAUGAAGGCCUUCGGGUUGUAAACUUCUUUUGCUCUGAACAAGGCGCACCAUGGGGUGUGUUGAGUGUAGGGGUUGAUUAGCGCCGGCUAACUACGUGCCAGCAGCCGCGGUAAUACGUAGGGCGCGAGCGUUGUCCGGAAUUAUUGGGCGUAAAGGGCUUGUAGGUGGCUGGUUGCGUCUGUCGUGAAAGCUCAUGGCUUAACUGUGGGUUUGCGGUGGGUACGGGCUGGCUUGAGUGCAGUAGGGGAGGCUGGAAUUCCUGGUGUAGCGGUGGAAUGCGCAGAUAUCAGGAGGAAUACCGGUGGCGAAGGCGGGUCUCUGGGCUGUUACUGACACUGAGGAGCGAAAGCAUGGGGAGCGAACAGG
rnacentral:rRNA from 1 species